rnacentral:rRNA from 1 species
ACGUACACUCCUGCGGGAGGCAGCAGUGGGGAAUUUUGGACAAUGGGCGAAAGCCUGAUCCAGCCAUGCCGCGUGCAGGAUGAAGGCCUUCGGGUUGUAAACUGCUUUUGUACGGAACGAAACGGCCUUUUCUAAUAAAGAGGGCUAAUGACGGUACCGUAAGAAUAAGCACCGGCUAACUACGUGCCAGCAGCCGCGGUAAUACGUAGGGUGCAAGCGUUAAUCGGAAUUACUGGGCGUAAAGCGUGCGCAGGCGGUUAUGUAAGACAGUUGUGAAAUCCCCGGGCUCAACCUGGGAGCUGCAUCUGUGAGUGCAUAGCUAGAGUACGGUAGAGGGGGAUGGAAUUCCGCGUGUAGCAGUGAAAUGCGUAGAUAUGCGGAGGAACACCGAUGGCGAAGGCAAUCCCCUGGACCUGUACUGACGCGCAUGCACGAAAGCGUGGGGAGCAAACAGGAUUAGAUACCCCAGUAGUCCCAUG